CAGCAGAGAAGCCAUAGCGGA
rnacentral:misc_RNA from 1 species